UCAAAAAUAAAGUGGGACCAAAGCGCUAAAAUAAAAUCUUGCUCCCAAAAAAAUAAAAUAAUGGGAGCUUUAAUUCUAAAACCUAACUCCGUCUUCAAAAAUCCCCAAAUCUAGCUUCAUCAAGAAAACCAUUACGCCAGAGACCACCGAGAGAAGUUGCAGUCUGGCGGGAGACUAUCACGGGCGGUCUUUCUGUUAUUUGUUAGAAGACAACAUGGCGUCAUUGGUUUUCUGAAGGUGUGAAAAGAUGGAUCCUUUUCAAACUUGAAGAAGUUAAGGAUUGAACAUUGUUGCCAAAUCAAAGUAAUGUUUGCUUGAUGGUUGUGGCAAAAUCUCCACAACCUUUAACAUGUGGUGUCUUAUUAUGAUAAGAUGAAAGAAAUUAUUAGCGGGGAUGAGAAUGAGGACCAAGAGGAAAAUCAGGUGCCUUGGCCUAAUUGCGUGUUGUUAACCUUUAUGGCUAAAUUUCUAAUCUCAGGCUUUCGAGAUGACAAAAGGACAAAUCAUACAAGAUUAUAUGGUUCUUUAUUUAUGUGUUUAGAUGGAGACAUUUUUUUCUGGGUUAUACCUUAGUUCUUUUUGGUUUUUGGUUCUUAUUAAUAGUGUCUGAAUUUACUUUGUGCGGUAUGUAAUUUUUCUUUUGACAUGUAACAUCUCAUAUCUUGACAUAAUUGGAAAUUCUUAUAGUUGUGUUUUUAUUUGUAGUCUAUUUAAUAUAAUAUAAAUAUAUGAUCCAGUGAUGAUCAUUUUCGCUUGCA